UACAGAGGUCUCAAGCGUUGUUCGGAUUCAUUGGGCGUAAAGGGUGCGUAGGCGGCGCGGUAAGUCGGGUGUGAAAUCUCGGAGCUUAACUCCGAAACUGCAUUCGAUACUGCCGUGCUUGAGGACUGGAGAGGAGACUGGAAUUUACGGUGUAGCGGUGAAAUGCGUAGAUAUCGAUAAGGAAGACCAGUGGCGAAGGCGGGUCUCUGGACAGUUCCUGACGCUGAGGACGAC
rnacentral:rRNA from 1 species